GAAGUAAACCAUUAAACCAUAUCAGAACUAACACAUUGAACUAAAAUAAAAAAUUAAACACCAAACAACAUACAUCAAUUACCGUUCGUUUGUAUGCAAAUGCCUCGUUCACAAAAAUAAGCAAUACCUGAUUUUAACCAACCACCAUAACAACAAUAUGGCCCCAUUUGGAUAGUUUUGGAUUUCAGUUAAGGCAUUUAGCAUUAUUAUUCAAUGAGAAUAGCUCAAAUUCAGAUUUGAGAGUUCACAAAGUGAUUUCGAUAUUGAGGUCGAGAACUCUAUCACUGACUUGAAAUCCUUCAUGUUAAGGAUCGUAGUUACACCCUGAUUUCCACAAAAUAUGUAUGUUUUAGCUCUAAUACAUCUUCCAUUUUUACCUUGCAAGACACCUCUAACUAAACCUCUUACAUCUACCACUAUUAUAAAGGGAACACCCUUUUAAUGUGAAGGUCAGUUCUUUUUUAGGUUGGCUCACAAUUUAGUUUCCUAAACUACCCCUUUACUAUCAAAAGAUACCGCUAAGAAGGAAAAAAAAAAAACUGCCACCGUAACUUUCUACUCCCCUCUCUUUCUAUUUUCACAUCUCAGAUUUCAUUACAGAUUAGUCUCAAUUGAAGAUUUUUCGCUUUCCGUGUUUUCCAUAAUACGUUCAGCACAUGCAUCGUGUGUGCCUAGGCGUCUAGUUUACGCUAAAAGUGAACAUCAAAUCCCUUCAUUUUAAAUCCAAGUCUAUCUAAACGGCCAUUGUAGGGGGUGCAAGCAAGGGUCCGGACUCCUACACACCUCCCAAUUGUCCCACUAACUAUACUAUAUUUUCAGGUUAAUUUGGAAAAGUUUUUAUAGGAUUGGUCCUGCAAGUCUCUUGAGUGAAAAAAAGUUGAUAAAGUUUUUAUAUAUGUGUGAAAACCCCCCUAAAACUUCUAACUAAAGAUUUCAUGAUGAAUUCACAAACACCAAUAUCAAGCCACUUCGAUGAAGCAUGUAGCACGAAA